GUGCUUGCUUCGGAAGCACAUAUACUAAAAUUGUGAACGAUACAGAGAAGAUUAGCAUGGCCCCUGCGAAAGGAUGACACGCAAAUACCAAAGACAAUUACAGCAAGU
rnacentral:snRNA from 1 species